GCGCAAGAAAGAAGCUGGGGCUGGAAGCCAAACGAGCACACAACAUUAUUCACACCCCCGUGCCGUAAAGAAGUCCAUGCAGCAACACCAAAAAGAAGGCCGACGAGAACGACGCUACCAAGCAAAGAACAGAAAAAGCGUGCGGAGGCGGAUGAAAGAUUCCAGGGUCCAAAGAGAGAUACAGAAUCACAACCAUCAGCGCUAUUUCUCCAACAUCUCAUCACCUGGCAACAUCGAAAAUAAGUUCGGGAAAAAGCUUUUCCACAGCUGUGCGUAGCAAUUUUUUUUUUUUUUUUUUUUUUACAAUGUCUUCUUUGAGCAGGAGCCUCAGUGGGGCGUGGAAGAAUCAGACGAGACACCGCACUCCGCUUUGGGAUGGCAUUCCGCUCCGGUCGGCGCACGAUCGUGGCCGGAGGUGGGAGGAAUUUUUAAUCUGAGUUUCAGUUAAAUCCCAGAGUGCUGUGACGAAAAUCCAGCAUGUCUCAAAUGUAGUCCCCGCUCAUUUUCAAGUGAGUCGAGUCAUAACUUGGGGAGAAGCAGGUCACGCAUCAAGUAUUGCCCAGUCACAGCAUAAAUUUGCACAUUAGCCACUUUGUGCGCAGUACUCUGUAAUAACACCUUCAUAAUCAUCUCACUUUUGUUUUUGGACUUGUCAAGUCAAGUACAUUGUCAAAGUUGAUUCUUUAUAGGUUGUUUUUUUUUUUUUUUUGAGCCAAGCAAAUUCCAUCUUUGACUUAACCCAAACAUGUCAUGUGACAUGAGUCCGCCACCUCUACGAAUGAGGGGGCUUUGUUUCAAAGGGACGCGCCUGGAUUGAAUGAAAUGCCAUCCCACAGCAGUAUGUGACGAUUUUGAUUUUGUGCUCUUUUUACAGGACCCUUAGCAGCUUGAAUUUCUGGAAUUGACAAAAUAUCCAACUUGUUUGCAUAUUUUUACCCCCCCCCCC